rnacentral:sRNA from 1 species
UUGACUCGCGAAUGAUAAUUGUUAUUAUUAACUCAACUGGUCGCGAGGCCAGUCGGUAAGCUGAGCGACCACGCAGUCGGACGAUCAGAUUAUCUCCUCAUCAGGCUAAUCACGGUUUCGACCCGGCUCAUCGCCGGGUCUUUUUUU